rnacentral:rRNA from 1 species
UGGGGAAUUUUGGACAAUGGGCGAAAGCCUGAUCCAGCAAUGCCGCGUGUGUGAAGAAGGCCUUCGGGUUGUAAAGCACUUUUGUCCGGAAAGAAAUGGCUCUGGUUAAUACCUGGGGUCGAUGACGGUACCGGAAGAAUAAGGACCGGCUAACUACGUGCCAGCAGCCGCGGUAAUACGUAGGGUCCAAGCGUUAAUCGGAAUUACUGGGCGUAAAGCGUGCGCAGGCGGUUGUGCAAGACCGAUGUGAAAUCCCCGAGCUUAACUUGGGAAUUGCAUUGGUGACUGCACGGCUAGAGUGUGUCAGAGGGGGGUAGAAUUCCACGUGUAGCAGUGAAAUGCGUAGAGAUGUGGAGGAAUACCGGUGGCGAAGGCAGCCCCCUGGGAUAACACUGACGCUCAUGCACGAAAGCGUGGGGAGCAAACAGGAUUAGAUACCCUGGUAGUCCACGCCCUAAACGAUGUCAACUAGUUGUUGGGGGAUUCAUUUCCUUAGUAACGUAGCUAACGCGUGAAGUUGACCGCCUGGGGAGUACGGUCGCAAGAUUAAAACUCAAAAGGAAUUGACGGGGUCAUAGCUGUUUCCU